GCGGGCUUAACAGCCACAUCUGUCUGCUAUAACCCUGUGCAGUCAGCCGUGCUGGGGUGGGACUACAACUCCGAGCACAACCUACCUGCCAGACUUUACUAAAUAGUCCCACACCAGCUGACAUGGCAUUGGCUGUUUCUGGAUGAUCUGUGUUUAUUUGCCUAGUGAUGAUGAUUAUUAUUAUUAUUUUAUUUUGUGGCAUUUUCUGUUUUGAUCCACUUGUAUUGUUCUGGUUUCCUUAAAUGUUAACCUGUUGCUGUGCUUAUGUGUAUUUGUGUAUGUAAUAUUCUGGGACAUGGGAACAAAUGGUGUUUGGGAACUUUUCCCCUUGUGUAAUUGUCACUCUCCCUGUACCAUCACAGUCGGGAAUGAAAUACAGUUUUCUCAGUGUGAUGUCAAUAUAUAUAUAUUGGAAUUGAAUAGUAAUAUUGACUUUUCUAAAUAUUUAUUUUGGUUGUGCGGAGGUAACAUUUUACUUAUAGAAUAUUUUACUGCGCUAACUACAUGUAACGUAUAAUAUAAACAAAUGCACAAAGUCACACAACAAAACACAAUGAUAAUAUAUACACAUUCUAUUUUUUUUAUAUAUUUUUUUGUAUUUGAACAUCUUUUUCUUAUUGUUACUUUAAUCUAUGGCUUCUGAAAGGUCUUUGAGAAGAGACAUUAUUAUAAUAUAAUGGUCUUGUUUUGUCAGCUCUUAGUGCUCAGUGAACCUUGUUCUACCUGUUUGUAAAAUUCCUCUGACACCCACACGUUUAUUAUAUUAAUAUUUUCAUUCUAGCCUGCCCGGAUUAGUCACUCAGUAGGGUCAGGGACUGCUGCAUGUUUGCUGGAUAAAUAAGUGUGAUGAGUGCACUACAUAAAUCCUCUGGCAGCUGAUGGCCUCUGGUUUAUUCCUCAGCAGAGGCGUAUCUAGCACGGGGCGAGUAGGGCACGUGCCGUGGGCGCUGUGGAAGCCCCAACAGAGGGGGGCGCCACCGGCACGUCCAGCUCACCCCAUGCGACAGGGAUUCCGCCGGCGGUACCUGCGGCGCUCUCCCUGUCUUCCCGGCUGCUGUGCCUGUCACACUGGACAGGCAGCGGCAGCCAGGAGCCUCCGCUUAUCAUCCCCCCCUCCCUCUCCCUACACAUUGCACUGUGCGCGAUCGCGACGGUACGCGCGACCGCGCCUGCGCGGCUUCGGUGAGCGGGCUUAACAGCCAGUAACAGCGGGGAGGAAGGCGCACAUCGGGAUCCUGCAGCAUGAAACAAGAACCCCUUCGGAGCGCAGCAGACCACACUGAAAAGGGUGCAUCCCCGGUGCGGUGCUCUGCAUCCCGGGUGGUGCCGAAGAUGUGGAGUGUCGGAGGUGGCAGAAGCGCCGCAGCUUGGGAUUACCUUGUCUAUAAAUGCCACAUCCUGCACCAUUCCAAGCUCUUCCGGGGAGGGAGGUGCCACAGACACAAUGAAGACAUUGAUGCCAUACUCCCGGGCUACGAUGCCAGCCUCCUCAAUGUUGUCGGAAGGCCAACCAUCUAUAAAUACCACCAUGACUUUCGGGAUUCCUUUUCGCACCCCAUUAGCAGCAGUGAAGAAGGCCUGAGCUGUGUGUUUCACAGCUUUCCCUGAAAAUAAUGGGUGGAACAGAAGAGUCAUACCAUCGAUGAGAUUACAAGUCUUGUUAUUCUGUUACCUAGAGUUAGUCACUUCUGAUAGUGUCAGUACGAUUGGAUUACUCAUUCUGUCCUGUAUAUUCCAGUUCUGAGAGUAUAAAUCUGGACACAUUUGUUCAGCCAAUUUAAGGCAGUGACUGGAGAUUGGCUCCAUGCAUUGUGCAGUGCAUGGAGGAUCUCCUGAUUAUCAUUCGGCUGAUCCCCCUUUCCUCUAUUUCUGCAGGGCCGCCGAGACAUCAUGUGGGCCCUGGUGCUAGAGAAGGGGUGUGGCCAAUCAUGGGGGUGUGAUCAUGCUAGGCUUGGCAUAUUGUGUAUUGUAAAUAAUGUGCAUGCAGAAGUGGGACAUUGCUCCACCUCUCUGGCUAACACUGGCCCACAUUGGGCCCCAAGACAAGCCUGGAUCCAAGUAAUUGCCCAUUAAGCCCAUAUGAAGAGGUGAGCCUGAGUAUUGUCUUUUAAAUGAAAACUUGUAUCACUGUCUUAACAUGCUUCAAAUUAAACAUCAAUGGACAUUGUAAUUUAAUUGAAAAAUAUAGAUUUCAUUAUUUAUUGAGGUCUCUUCAAUAUACUGUAAUAUGAUAUACUAUAUAUAUCCUACACAACGCUGUCCCAUCUCUACUUGUUGCUGAAGGACUGUAACUGGAAGAUAAAGGGGUGUUUGAAAGUAGAGUAACUAGGGCGUGUCAUCGGAUUAGCGCAAUAUACCGUUUUGUAUAUGAAUAAUUUCACCUGUCUCUAGAUGGAUGCCUUAACACCUAAGAAACCAAAAAUAUGGAUAGGGGCGGUACGAUCGCAUUGAUGCCUACAUCUGUGCACACAGGCAGUUACUACUACUACUACUACUACUACUACUACUACACCUCUUUCCGUUGUAAUAGAAGAAACCAUGAAUACUCUAUGGAAACAUGUUAAAAAGGGAACCUGAUCAGUCUUUGUAUAAUACAUUUGAUUUUAUAUACAGGGUGUCCCAAAAUAUGUAUACACACUGAUUCAGUAUAAAUGCAGAGUUUUAUUAGGAUAUAUUUAAGUUUUAUAAUCCAACUUGAAGAAAACAAGUACAGAAUGUUUUAAGUUAUUGCAGGUGUCCGACAAAAAAACGUGUAUACGUCUUUUUGGGACACCCUAUAGAUCCGUACCUAUAAAGUGGUUACAUCCUCCACAUUCGGUACACCUUCCAAUGGUGUUGCAAAUUAGUGGUGGGAACUGCAACGUGAUAGGAGGCAGACAUAUAUAAUAUAUAUAUGUAAGUGUGUGUGUGUGUGUGUGUGUGUGUAUAUAUAUAUAUAUAUAUAUAUAUAUAUAUAUAUAUAUGGAAUGGUGAUUUUUUUUUUUUAACCCUGGUUAUUUGGGAAGUGAAAGGGGGAA